rnacentral:rRNA from 1 species
ACUCAAAGGAAUAGACGGGGGCUCGCACAAGCAGUGGAGCAUGCGGUUUAAUUCGAUGCUACGCGAAAAACCUUACCAACCCUUGACAUGGUGGUCGUAGUCUACAGAGAUGUAGGCGUCAGUUCGGCUGGACCACACACAGGUGUUGCAUGGCUGUCGUCAGCUCGUGUCGUGAGAUGUUGGGUUAAGUCCCGCAACGAGCGAAACCCUCAUCCUUAUUUGCCAGCGGUUAGGCCGGGAACUAUAAGGAAACUGCCGGUGAUAAGCCGGAGGAAGGUGGGGAUGAUGUCAAGUCAUCAUGGCCCUUACGGGUUGGGCUACACGCGUGCUACAAUGGUAACUACAGAGGGAAGCAAUACGGCGACGUGGAGCAAAUCCUCAAAAGUUAUCUCAGUUCGGAUUGCUCUCUGCAACUCGAGAGCAUGAAGCCGGAAUUGCUAGUAAUCGCGGAUCAGCAUGCCGCGGUGAAUACGUUCUCGGGCCUUGUACACACCGCCCGU